AAAUUGAAGAGUUUGAUCAUGGCUCAGAUUGAACGCUGGCGGCAGGCCUAACACAUGCAAGUCGAACGGUAGCACAGAGAGCUUGCUCUCGGGUGACGAGUGGCGGACGGGUGAGUAAUGUCUGGGAAACUGCCUGAUGGAGGGGGAUAACUACUGGAAACGGUGGCUAAUACCGCAUAACGUCGCAAGACCAAAGAGGGGGACCUUCGGGCCUCUUGCCAUCAGAUGUGCCCAGAUGGGAUUAGCUUGUUGGUGAGGUAACGGCUCACCAAGGCGACGAUCCCUAGCUGGUCUGAGAGGAUGACCAGCCACACUGGAACUGAGACACGGUCCAGACUCCUACGGGAGGCAGCAGUGGGGAAUAUUGCACAAUGGGCGCAAGCCUGAUGCAGCCAUGCCGCGUGUAUGAAGAAGGC
rnacentral:rRNA from 2 species